CAAUGCUUUGCUGAUUUUCCAAGGAUAGGAUGAAGUGCAGGAUCUUGUGCCCUAUUAGGGGGUGUAGAAACAUCAGUGGCAUGCUGGAAUUCCUGUCAUAGCUAGGAGCUGGCACAACAUCCGAAUGUGUGCCUGGCAGGCACAUGGUUACAGCAAGCAUAUCAUUUUUUGAUUUUUUUGGACAAAUAAUUUGGUUUCCUCACUUCUCAUGUGCAUAAUUGGAGGUGACUUGAUCUAACUCAAUUUUUCUUCAUAGGAGACGUGAUCAAAUGAGGGCUUUGCCUUGGUGAAUCCAAAGAACAGCGGAAGCACGUUGGUCCACAGUGGGGAGUAACGGGAAGAAAGCGACUGUUGCCUUGGCUUGGUUUCUCAAGUGUCUCAACAUCCAAAUUUCAAGGUUGUCUGCUUGUCUGGGGAGGACACACGUGGAGAUCUGCCGUUUCUGACAAGCGUCUGUGUCCCCAGCCUUGACUCCGAGCCCUGCUCGCCGUGGCUGCUCCACAAAUAUGUGCAGGUGAUUCUGUGGCUGGGAAGUUUGGUAAGAGUUGGCUGUAGAACUCAGCAUUGCUAUUGUCCCUCUGUUCACUUUCUAGGCUUUCUGGAAGGAGGAAAGAUUGAAAGGGAUCACAAGAGCAUGACAAGCUUGUUUUAUUUGCUUAGACAAGGGACAUCAUGAAGGCAAACUCUGCCCUCAGAAUGAAAUACUGGGGCUCAGCUUCGUGCGUCACUGAAUGUUCUAGAAUGGGGUACUAACUCCUUUUUGAGUUUGGGGAAUGGGCAGGAGGAAUUGGAUAAAGGAGGAUUGGGCUGCGCCUUCUGCUUCAGAAAAUGCCCAGUAGAAUCAGUGGCACUGCCACUAGGAACGAUGCUGGAGGAAGGACUCCUUCUGAGGACAUUGCCUUCAGACGAGGGGAAUAAGACCCUCUGAUUCCCAGCUGUCCACUUCAAGUCAUGGCUGAGUGCUCAACGUGGAGUUUUACUGCUUGGCCAGUGACCAGUGACUGUUAUGAUAUAUAAAGGGAAGAACGAAAUGUGACGUCUCGGAGAAUGAUGGAC
rnacentral:lncRNA from 1 species